GACGAACGCUGGCGGCGUGCCUAAUACAUGCAAGUCGAGCGGACUUUCAAGAAGCUUGCUUUUUGAAAGUUAGCGGCGGACGGGUGAGUAACACGUGGGCAACCUGCCUGUAAGACGGGGAUAACUCCGGGAAACCGGGGCUAAUACCGGAUAAUAUCUUUCUUCGCAUGAAGGAAGGUUGAAAGGCGGCGCAAGCUGCCGCUUGCAGAUGGGCCCGCGGCGCAUUAGCUAGUUGGUGAGGUAACGGCUCACCAAGGCUACGAUGCGUAGCCGGCCUGAGAGGUUGAGCGGCCACACUGGGACUGAGACACGGCCCAGACUCCUACGGGAGGCAGCAGUAGGGAAUCUUCCGCAAUGGACGAAAGUCUGACGGAGCAACGCCGCGUGAGCGAAGAAGGUCUUCGGAUCGUAAAGCUCUGUUGUCAGGGAAGAACAAGUACCGUUCGAAUAGGGCGGUACCUUGACGGUACCUGACCAGAAAGCCACGGCUAACUACGUGCCAGCCGCCGCCGUAA
rnacentral:rRNA from 1 species